UUCNACACUAGAGAGGCAGGUAAUGCCGCA
rnacentral:piRNA from 1 species